AGUCAUAUGCUUGUCUCAAAGAUUAAGCCAUGCAUGUCUCAGUACAAGCCGAAUUAAGGUGAAACCGCGAAAGGCUCAUUAAAUCAGUUAUGGUUCCUUAGAUCGUACCCACAUUUACUUGGAUAACUGUGGUAAUUCUAGAGCUAAUACAUGCAAACAGAGCUCCGACCGGAGACGGGAGGAGUGCUUUUAUUAGAUCAAAACCAAUCGGCGGCGGGCGCGCUCGCGCGUCCGUUCGCCGCUCAACCUGGUGACUCUGAAUAACUUUCCGCUGAUCGCACGGUCUCGCACCGGCGACGCAUCUUUCAAAUGUCUGCCUUAUCAACUGUCGAUGGUAGGUUCUGCGCCUACCAUGGUCGUAACGGGUAACGGGGAAUCAGGGUUCGAUUCCGGAGAGGGAGCCUGAGAAACGGCUACCACAUCCAAGGAAGGCAGCAGGCGCGCAAAUUACCCACUCCCGGCACGGGGAGGUAGUGACGAAAAAUAACGAUACGGGACUCAUCCGAGGCCCCGUAAUCGGAAUGAGUACACUUUAAAUCCUUUAACGAGGAUCAAUUGGAGGGCAAGUCUGGUGCCAGCAGCCGCGGUAACUCCAGCUCCAAUAGCGUAU
rnacentral:rRNA from 2 species